GACGUAGGGGGCCAGCGUUGUUCGGAAUUACUGGGUGUAAAGGGUGCGUAGGCGGCGCGGUAAGUCGGGUGUGAAAUCUCGGGGCUUAACUCCGAAACUGCAUUCGAUACUGCCGUGCUUGAGGACUGGAGAGGAGACUGGAAUUUACGGUGUAGCGGUGAAAUGCGUAGAUAUCGUAAGGAAGACCAGUGGCGAAGGCGGGUCUCUGGACAGUUCCUGACGCUGAGGCACGAAGGCCAGGGGAGCAAACGGG
rnacentral:rRNA from 1 species